GACGAACGCUGGCGGCGUGCCUAAUACAUGCCAGUUGAGCGCUGAAGGUUGGUACUUGUACCAACUGGAUGAGCAGCGAACGGGUGAGUAACGCGUGGGGAAUCUGCCUUUGAGCGGGGGACAACAUUUGGAAACGAAUGCUAAUACCGCAUAAAAACUUUAAACACAAGUUUUAAGUUUGAAAGAUGCAAUUGCAUCACUCAAAGAUGAUCCCGCGUUGUAUUAGCUAGUUGGUGAGGUAAAGGCUCACCAAGGCGAUGAUACAUAGCCGACCUGAGAGGGUGAGCGGCCACAUUGGGACUGGGACACGGCCCAAAAUCCUACGGGAGGCAGCAGUAGGGGAUCUUCGGCAAUGGACGAAAGUCUGACCGAGCAACGCCGCGUGAGUGAAGAAGGUUUUAGGAUCGUAAAACUCUGUUGGUAGAGAAGAACGUUGGUGAGAGUGGAAAGCGCAUCAAGUGACGGUAACUACCCAGAAAGGGACGGCUAACUACGUG
rnacentral:rRNA from 1 species